rnacentral:rRNA from 1 species
AGAGUUUGAUCCUGGCUCAGGAUGAACGCUGGCGGCGUGCUUAACACAUGCAAGUCGAACGAUGAAGCCCAGCUUGCUGGGUGGAUUAGUGGCGAACGGGUGAGUAACACGUGAGUAACCUGCCCUUAACUCUGGGAUAAGCCUGGGAAACUGGGUCUAAUACCGGAUAGGAGCGUCCACCGCAUGGUGGGUGUUGGAAAGAUUUAUCGGUUUUGGAUGGACUCGCGGCCUAUCAGCUUGUUGGUGAGGUAAUGGCUCACCAAGGCGACGACGGGUAGCCGGCCUGAGAGGGUGACCGGCCACACUGGGACUGAGACACGGCCCAGACUCCUACGGGAGGCAGCAGUGGGGAAUAUUGCACAAUGGGCGCAAGCCUGAUGCAGCGACGCCGCGUGAGGGAUGACGGCCUUCGGGUUGUAAACCUCUUUCAGUAGGGAAGAAGCGAAAGUGACGGUACCUGCAGAAGAAGCACCGGCUAACUACGUGCCAGCAGCCGCGGUAAUA